AGUGAACGCUGGCGGUAGGCCUAACACAUGCAAGUCGAACGGCAGCACAGUAAGAGCUUGCUCUUACGGGUGGCGAGUGGCGGACGGGUGAGGAAUACAUCGGAAUCUACUUUUUCGUGGGGGAUAACGUAGGGAAACUUACGCUAAUACCGCAUACGACCUACGGGUGAAAGCAGGGGAUCUUCGGACCUUGCGCGAUUGAAUGAGCCGAUGUCGGAUUAGCUAGUUGGCGGGGUAAAGGCCCACCAAGGCGACGAUCCGUAGCUGGUCUGAGAGGAUGAUCAGCCACACUGGAACUGAGACACGGUCCAGACUCCUACGGGAGGCAGCAGUGGGGAAUAUUGGACAAUGGGCGCAAGCCUGAUCCAGCCAUACCGCGUGGGUGAAGAAGGCCUUCGGGUUGUAAAGCCCUUUUGCUGGGAAAGAAAAGCAGCAGGUUAAUACCCCGCUGUUCUGACGGUACCCAAAGAAUAAGCACCGGCUAACUUCUUG
rnacentral:rRNA from 1 species